rnacentral:rRNA from 1 species
CAGUAGCCGCGGUAAGACAGAGGAUGCAAGCGUUAUCCGGAAUGAUUGGGCGUAAAGCGUCCGUAGGUGGCUUUUCAAGUCCGCCGUCAAAUCCCAGGGCUCAACCCUGGACAGGCGGUGGAAACUACCAAGCUGGAGUACGGUAGGGGCAGAGGGAAUUUCCGGUGGGGCGGUGAAAUGCGUUGAGAUCGGAAAGAACACCAACGGCGAAAGCACCCUGCUGGGCCGACACUGACACUGAGAGACGAAAGCUAGGGGAGCAAAUGGGAUUAGAUACCCCGUAGUCCCUGUCUCUUAUACA